UGGUAGUGUCCAACUGUCCAUGCCUUUAGUAUAGACCCAGAACCGAGAUCUACUGUAUGGAAAAAGGCACUAGAAUUGGGUCAUGUUCAUUAGGGCAAACUAAUAUGAAAAAUGUGCAUUUCUUAUUGGACAAGUUCAGGUAGUCUUUUCCUGUUUCAGUCCAUUUGGUGCCUACUGAAUACAACCCAGCUUUGUGUAUUUCACUGCGGUGACAGUCUCUUCCUUUCCCCUGCCGACUGUAGGAAGACAGACUCCUCUGGAGACGGAGAAAACCAAAUAACCCAGGCUCCAGCCAGCCCCCCCCCACCCCAGUCAGAGCUGGAGUCUGGCCCAAAACCAGCUUAGACACUGGGGUUCCAUUUCAGUUCGGCAGCCAGAGAACCCUGGAGCCCCAGGAGACAGGCUGGCAGCCACAAAUGCGCUUUCAGUUCCAGGUCGUUCCAGCCCCAGACAUAAUCGCCACCGGUCACUGAGCAGGUAUUCAUUGCAUCUGGCUCAGAGUCCCGACGUACCGUGACUGACAUGGCAUGAAUCUUUUAAGUCUCCUUAGUUUCCAGGAAGGCAGUGGACAAUGCCGGCUAUUCAUCCUCUUUUCUAGGGCUCCCACAGCACACGAUCUCACUCCUCCAGACUCCAGUGUUGUAUGUAUGUCAUUGCCAGGUAAUCCAAUGGUAUGGUUAUAAUCUCAGACACACGCGCAGGCAGUCUGUAUCACAGGUAUUCCAGCAGUUAUGUGGCUACAGCUGUUGCUCUUAUAAUUUCCCCUGGGAAGCAAAGUGUGGUAAAAACAUCCCUUUAAUACCCUGGGCGGUAAGGUGUGGUAAAAACAUCCCUUUAAUACCCUGGGCGGUAAGGUGUGGUAAAAACAUCCCUUUAAUACCCUGGGCGGUAAGGUGUGGUAAAAACAUCCCUUUAAUACCCUGGGCGGUAAGGUGUGGUAAAAACAUCCCUUUAAUACCCUGGGCGGUAAGGUGUGGUAAAAACAUCCCUUUAAUACCCUGGGCGGUAAGGUGUGGUAAAAACAUCCCUUUAAUACCCUGGGCGGUAAGGUGUGGUAAAAACAUCCCUUUAAUACCCUGGGCGGUAAGGUGUGCUAAAAAUAUCCCUUUACAGAUGUAAAGCACACAGGUAUUAGAGGUCAAAAGCGUUUUCACUCUCUUCUGUCGGGUUGUGAGGGUGGCAUUCCUUCCUGUAAUAUGAUCUCUUUCAUCCCUUCUUUCUUUAUGGCGACUUCCUU